rnacentral:rRNA from 1 species
GGCUGUUCCGGGGCAGGGGGUGGGGUAGUACGGGGGGUGGGAGCGGUAUCCGGAUUUACUGGGGUUAAAGGGUGCGUAGGAGGGGAGGUAAGUCAUUGGUGAAAUCCUAGAGCUUAACGCUAGAACUGCCGUUGAUACUAUCUGUCUUGAAUAUUGUGGAGGUGAGCGGAAUAUGUCAUGUAGCGGUGAAAUGCUUAGAUAUGACAUAGAACACCAAUUGCGAAGGCAGCUCGCUACACAUAUAUUGACUCUGAGGCACGAAAGCGUGGGGAUCAAACAGGAUUAGAUACCCCAGUAGUC